AGAGUUUGAUCCUGGCUCAGGACGAACGCUAGCGGCGUGCCUAAUGUAUGCAAGUCGAGCGGGGUGAGAGGCUUCGGCCUCUCAUUCAGCGGCAAACGGUUGAGUAACACGUAGGCAACCUGCCCCAGAGACGGGGAUAGCCCGCCGAAAGGCGGAUUAAUACCGGAUGUGGCGGGGGAGGACAUCCUCUCUCUGCUAAAGGUGGCAACACGCUCUGGGAUGGGCCUGCGGCCUAUCAGCUAGUUGGUGGGGUAACGGCCUACCAAGGCGACGACGGGUAGCUGGUCUGAGAGGAUGGUCAGCCAGACAGGGACUGAGACACGGCCCUGACUCCUUUGGGGGGCAGCAAUGAGGGAUAUUGCACAAUGGGGGAAACCCUGAUGCAGCGACGCCGCGUGGGUGACGAAGUCCUUCGGGAUGUAAAGCCCUUUUCUGGGGGAAGAGAACGGACGGUACCCCAGGAAGAAGCCCCGGCUAACUACGUGCCAGCAGCCGCGGUAAUACGUAGGGGGCAAGCGUUGUCCGGAAUUACUGGGCGUAAAGCGCGUGUAGGCGGGACGGUAAGUCGGACGUGAAAGGCGCGGGCUCAACCCGCGAGCGCCGUUCGAAACUGCCGUUCUUGAGGGUCGAAGAGGAGAGUGGAAUUCCUGGUGUAGCGGUGAAAUGCGUAGAGAUCAGGAGGAACACCCGUGGCGAAGGCGGCUCUCUGGUCGGCCUCUGACGCUGAGACGCGAAAGCGUGGGGAGCGAACGGGAUUAGAUACCCCGGUAGUCCACGCCGUAAACGAUGGUCACUAGGUGUAAGCGGUAUCGACCCCGCUUGUGCCGCAGCUAACGCAAUAAGUGACCCGCCUGGGGAGUACGGCCGCAAGGUUGAAACUCAAAGGAAUUGACGGGGGCCCGCACAAGCGGUGGAGCAUGGGGAUUAAUUCGUCAUUAACCGAAGAACCUUACCAGGGUUUGACAUCCGCGGAAAGUCCGUGAAAGCGGCACCCUCCGGGGUAACUCGGACCGCGAGACAGGUGUUGCCAUGGCUGUCGUCAGCUCGUGUCGUGAGAUGUUGGGUUAAGUCCCGCAACGAGCGCAACCCUCACGCGAUGUUGCCAGCGUCAAGUCGGGCACUCUUCGCGAACUGCCCGGGUAACCGGGAGGAAAGGUGGGGAUGAGGAGGCAAGUGCCAGGGCCUUACAUCAUAUCCUGGGCUUCACCCAUGCCCAAUGCACGGGCGCGACAAAGACACGCAAACCCCGCGAGGUGGAGCGAAUCCCAAAAAGGCGCUCUCAGUUCGGAUUGCAGGCUGCAACUCGCCUGCAUGAAGUCGGAAUCGCUAGUAACCGCCGGUCAGCUAAACGGCGGUGAAUACGUUCCCGGGCCUUGUACACACCGCCCGUCACGUCACCUGAGUCUGCUGCACCCGAAGUCACUGGCCCAACCCGCAAGGGAGGGAGGGUCCGGAAGGUGUGGCCGGUAAGGGGGACGAAGUCGUAACAAGGUAGCCGUAUCGGAAGGUGCGGCUGGAUCACCUCCUU
rnacentral:rRNA from 1 species